rnacentral:tRNA from 1 species
UUAAUUGAAACCAAAAAGAGGUAUAUUAUUGUUAAUAAUAAAAUUGAAUUGAUUUCCAAUUAAA